ensembl:misc_RNA Metazoa_SRP Metazoan signal recognition particle RNA
GCCGGGCAUGGUGGUGCAUGCCUGUAGUCCCAGCUACUCUGGAGGCUAAGGCAGAAGUAUCAUUUGAGCCUGGGAGGUCAAGGCUGCAGUGACCAAGAUAGCGCCACUGCACUCCAGCCUGGGCAAAAGAGUGAGACCCUGUCUCAA